rnacentral:tRNA from 1 species
UGAAUAGAAGCUCUGAUGUAGCAAUUAGCUGUUAACUAGGAAGGAAUAAAAAUAUUAUCUAUUC